GGAGGCUGCUCUAAAAUCGUGUGUUUUACAAAUAUAUUCUAAUUUCUUAAUAAUAAUAAUAGGUCAAUAGUUAAAAUAUACACGCUGGCAAUAUUUUAGUUACGUUUUAUACGCCGAAUUUCGGUCGCGUCGAAUGCGACAACUAAGACAAUAGUCAAUAGAUAAUAAUGACAUGAUAAAGCUCAUUAAGCUUCAGCCUUCAUUAUCUAUUGUCUUACUGAGUUGCAUUUCACGCGACCAAAAUUCAAUGUCAAAAACAAGGGUUACGGAGUUACGCAUCAUUGCGUUCAGGAAAGUGCUAGGCCAUUCAAAUUCUAAUAACAAUAGAUUACUUCAAUAGUUUGCGCUUUUUUCACUUCCGAGUAGCGGGCGGAGGUAUGCAGUCUCCGAGUGCCCUCUAGUU